rnacentral:rRNA from 1 species
GAUGAACGCUGGCGGCGUGCUUAACACAUGCAAGUCGAACGAAGCACCUUGAUUUGAUUCUUCGGAUGAAGAUCUUGGUGACUGAGUGGCGGACGGGUGAGUAACGCGUGGGUAACCUGCCUCAUACAGGGGGAUAACAGGUAGAAAUGACGGCUAAUACCGCAUAAGACCACAGCACCGCAUGGUGCAGGGGUAAAAACUCCGGUGGUAUGAGAUGGACCCGCGUCUGAUUAGGUAGUUGGUGGGGUAACGGCCUACCAAGCCGACGAUCAGUAGCCGACCUGAGAGGGUGACCGGCCACAUUGGGACUGAGACACGGCCCAAACUCCUACGGGAGGCAGCAGUGGGGAAUAUUGCACAAUGGGGGAAACCCUGAUGCAGCGACGCCGCGUGAGCGAUGAAGUAUUUCGGUAUGUAAAGCUCUAUCAGCAGGGAAGAAAAUGACGGUACCUGACUAAGAAGCACCAGCUAAAUACGUGCCAGCAGCCGCGGUAA